UUAUAUAAAGAUAAAUUUGGCUGAUUAUUUAUUAUUACUAUUAUUAUUAUUUAUUUUCUUCGUAAAUGACAAUUAUGAGUAGUUUUCUGCAAUAAUGUCGCUUCAAAAAAAUUAGGUAAUGUUCCCUUAGAAAUAUAUACAUGAUCCUCGGUCAAACCAGAAAUAAAAAUUUGAAUUAUAGUUUUUUGAAUAAAUAUAUUCCUUCUUUAGAAACAUAAAUUUGUUCGUACAGGUAUACAAGUACAAGUAUAAAUCAAAGAUUAUUUAUCUAAAGAUAUAAAAAUAGUUCUACAGCAAGAACGGUUUUUAUACUAAAAUGCGCAUUCUGCAAUUUGUAACUUAAAUCUUUUUAAAAAUUUUAUUGUCGAUUUUGAAAAUGCCUGUUAUAUAUUAUAAUUUGCAAAUUGCGCAUGCAAAUUCGUUGUCUUCGUUUUUAUGAUAAGUAUUUAUGUAACACUUGACAACAAACUAUGCAACUCGCAGUUCUUACACAUCGUCUCCUAAUGGAAAAUUUAUACUGAUUUCAAAUUUGAAAUAUUGAAGUUUUAACACGUUCACCGUUGAAUUUCUCUUCCGUACGAUAGAAUUAAUGCUCUAUCUUUCUAACGCUGUUCUGAUAGGAGAUGUAGCCUAUUUUCAUCUAGGUACUUUAAUAAACAGAAUACCAGGCUUUAUGACAUCAAAACUCAAGAGUUGUUCAUCAACGAGAAUUAAAAAUAUACAAUAAGACAAUGUUAUACAACUUUUAGAUGAGAAAAUGCACUAUGUUAAAAAGUAAUUUUUGUAUAACAUUUAUUUCUAUAUUAUAUCACCUUGUAUAUGUAUCUUAUUCAUGAAUUGUAACAAAAAUAUUUGUCUAAGUUUCAUGAUUUUUA